AUGUAGGGCAACCCGUCUUUAAGUAGGGAUAAAAUACUCUAAAAAAUGAAUCCUAGAUAAUUUUCCCUUCAAGUCAAGUGUCAUGU
rnacentral:pre_miRNA from 1 species